UACGGAGGGGGCAAGCGUUACUCGGAAUUAUUGGGCGUAAAGGGCGCGUAGGUGGUUGCGUGCGUCGGAGGUGAAAUCCCCGGGCUUAACCCGGGAACUGCCUCCGAUACGGCGCGACUUGAGUCCGGGAGAGGAGAGCAGAAUUCCCAGUGUAGCGGUGAAAUGCGUAGAUAUUGGGAGGAAUACCAGUGGCGAAGGCGGCUCUCUGGACCGGUACUGACGCUAAAGCGCGAAAGCGUGGGUAGCAAACAGG
rnacentral:rRNA from 1 species